rnacentral:rRNA from 1 species
GACGAACGCUGGCGGCGUGCUUAACACAUGCAAGUCGAACGGAAAGGCCCUGGUUUGGUUGGGUGCUCGAGUUGCGAACGGGUGAGUAACACGUGAGUAACCUGCCCUUUACCUGGGGAUAACUUCUGGAAACUGGAGCUAAUACCGGAUAGUAGCUCCUGUUGCAUGAUGGUGGUUUGAAAGUUUCGGCGGUUGAGGUUGUACUCGCGGCUUAGCAGCUUGAUGGUGGGGUAGUGGUUUAGCAAGGCUUUGGCGGGUAUCCGGCCUGGGAGGGUGACAGGCCACAGAGGGAUUGAGAUAGCGGCAGGACUGAAACGGGAGGCAGCAGUGGAAAAUAUUGCAAAAUAGGCCGAAGCCGUAUGGAGGAACGUCGCGUGCGAGAGGACGGCCGUCGGGUUGUAACCAGCGUGCGCCUGUAACGAAGCGAGAGUGACGGUAAUGGAUAAGGAAGCACCGGCUAACUACGUG